rnacentral:rRNA from 1 species
AGUGGCGAACGGGUGAGUAAUGCAUCGGAACGUACCGUGUAGUGGGGGAUAACGUAGCGAAAGUUACGCUAAUACCGCAUACGAUCUAUGGAUGAAAGCGGGGGAUCGCAAGACCUCGCGCGAUUGGAGCGGCCGAUAUCAGAUUAGGUAGUUGGUGGGGUAAAGGCUCACCAAGCCGACGAUCUGUAGCUGGUCUGAGAGGACGACCAGCCACACUGGGACUGAGACACGGCCCAGACUCCUACGGGAGGCAGCAGUGGGGAAUUUUGGACAAUGGGCGCAAGCCUGAUCCAGCCAUGCCGCGUGCAGGAUGAAGGCCUUCGGGUUGUAAACUGCUUUUGUACGGAACGAAAAGGUUUGGCCUAAUAAGCUGAGCUCAUGACGGUACCGUAAGAAUAAGCACCGGCUAACUACGUGCCAGCAGCCGCGGUAAUACGUAGGGUGCGAGCGUUAAUCGGAAUUACUGGGCGUAAAGCGUGCGCAGGCGGUUAUGUAAGACAGAUGUGAAAUCCCCGGGCUCAACCUGGGAACUGCAUUAGUGACUGCAUAGCUGGAGUACGGCAGAGGGGGGAUGGAAUUCCGCGUGUAGCAGUGAAAUGCGUAGAUAUGCGGAGGAACACCGAUGGCGAAAGGCAAUCCUCCUGGGCCUGUACUGACGCUCAUGCACGAAGCGUGG